rnacentral:rRNA from 1 species
GAGGGAUCUUGGGCAAUGGGCGCAAGCCUGACCCAGCGACGCCGCGUGGAGGACGAAGGGCUUCGGCUCGUAAACUCCUUUUCCCGUGGACGAGACAAGGACGGUACACGGGGAAUAAGUCUCGGCUAACUACGUGCCAGCAGCCGCGGUAAAACGUAGGAGGCGAGCGUUAUUCGGAAUCACUGGGCGUAAAGGGCGUCUAGGCGGCACGAUAAGCGAGGUGUGAAAGCUCCUGGCUCAACCAGGAGAGUGCGCUUCGGACUGUCGAGCUUGGAGGGCAGGUGAAGGGGGUGGAAUUCCCGGUGGAGUGGUGGAAUGCGUAGAGAUCGGGAGGAACACCAGUGGCGAAAGCGGCCCCCUGGCCUGUUGCUGACGCUGAAGCGCGAAAGCGUGGGGAGCAAAC